ACGGCUCAGUAACACGUGGACAACCUACCCUGAGGUCGGGGAUAAACCCGGGAAACUGGGUAUAAUACCCGAUAGAUCUAGAUCGCUGGAAUGCUUUUAGGUCUAAAGUUCCGACGCCUCAGGAUGGGUCUGCGGCCUAUCAGGGUAGUAGUGGGUGUAAAGUACCUACUAGCCUACGACGGGUACGGGUUGUGAGAGCAAGAGCCCGGAGAUGGAUUCUGAGACACGAAUCCAGGCCCUACGGGGUGCAGCAGGCGCGAAACCUUUACAAUGCUGGCAACAGUGAUAAGGGGACCUCGAGUGCUACGAUACAAUCGUGGCUGUCUAGUUGCCUAAAAAGCAAUUGAUAGCAAGGGCCGGGCAAGACCGGUGCCAGCCGCCGCGGUAACACCGGCGGCUCGAGUGGUAACCGCUAUUAUUGGGUCUAAAGGGUCUGUAGCCGGCUUAGUUAGUCUCUUGAGAAAUCUGGCCGCUCAACGGUCAGGCGUUCAGGGGAUACUGCUAAAGCUCGAGACCGGGAGAGGUGAGAGGUACUUCAGGGGUAGGGGUGAAAUCUUGUAAUCCUUGAAGGACCACCAGUGGCGAAGGCGUCUCACCAGAACGGAUCUGACGGCAAGGGACGAAAGCUAGGGGCACGAACCGGAUUAGAUACCCGGGUAGUCCUAGCCGUAAACGAUACUCGCUAGGUGUCGGCCACGGUGCGACCGUGGUCGGUGCCGUAGGGAAGCCGCGAAGCGAGCCACCUGGGAAGUACGGCCGCAAGGCUGAAACUUAAAGGAAUUGGCGGGGGAGCAC
rnacentral:rRNA from 1 species